AGUGAACGCUGGCGGUAGGCCUAACACAUGCAAGUCGAACGGCAGCACAGUAAGAGCUUGCUCUUACGGGUGGCGAGUGGCGGACGGGUGAGGAAUACAUCGGAAUCUACUUUUUCGUGGGGGAUAACGUAGGGAAACUUACGCUAAUACCGCAUACGACCUACGGGUGAAAGCAGGGGAUCUUCGGACCUUGCGCGAUUGAAUGAGCCGAUGUCGGAUUAGCUAGUUGGCGGGGUAAAGGCCCACCAAGGCGACGAUCCGUAGCUGGUCUGAGAGGAUGAGCAGGCAGCCUGGAACUGAGACACGGUACAGACUCCUACGGGAGGCAGCAGUGGGGAAUAUUGGACAAUGGGCGCAAGCCUGAUCCACCCAUACCGCGUGGGUGAAGAAGGCCUUCGGGUUGUAAAGCCCUUUUGUUGGGAAAGAAAAGCAGCAGGUUAAUACCCCGCUGUUCUGACGGUACCCAAAGAAUAAGCACCGGCUAACUUCGUG
rnacentral:rRNA from 1 species